AACGAACGCUGGCGGCAGGCUUAACACAUGCAAGUCGAGCGCAUCCUUCGGGUUGAGCGGCACACGGGUGAGUAACGCGUGGGAAUCUACCUUUUGCUACGGAAUAGCUCCGGGAAACUGGAAUUAAUACCGUAUGUGCCCUUAGGGGGAAAGAUUUAUCGGCAAGAGAUGAGCCCGCGUUGGAUUAGCUAGUUGGUGGGGUAAAGGCCUACCAAGGCGACGAUCCAUAGCUGGUCUGAGAGGAUGAUCAGCCACAUUGGGACUGAGACACGGCCCAAACUCCUACGGGAGGCAGCAGUGGGGAAUAUUGGACAAUGGGCGAAAGCCUGAUCCAGCCAUGCCGCGUGAGUGAUGAAGGCCUUAGGGUUGUAAAGCUCUUUCACCGGAGAAGAUAAUGACGGUACCCGGAGAAGAAGCCCCGGCUAACUUCGUG
rnacentral:rRNA from 1 species